CUGAGCUGCCUGUUCCGGAGCACAAACAAUUUCGGCUCUGACGCGGGGUCUCUCGGGCCCCGGCGUCCUCUCCUCCCUGCCCCCCCUUCCGGGUACGAGAACUCAAAACAACUCGCUGACCUUCGGGCCGACCAGCUCCGGCUUCCACCGACUCCGCACGCCGCCCCAGCCCUGCAGCGGCUUCUAAGAUUUCACUCCGCGCUGGGCUGGGGGAGGGGGUGGCUUCUCCGGGAGGGGGUGUCUCCGAUCGAAAAAGGGCCGGCCACUUCACGCUCCUUCCCUUCCUCCGAAGUGAGUUUUUAGACUCUCCGAGGCCCUGGGGGAGCGCGAGCAGCCGCGCGCAAAGGACCCCCCUCUCCACGACGCGCCCCGCACAUGCCGCCUUGUCUAGUGCGACCUGAUUUCCAGGGUCAACGGCGGAGGGCCUGGCCGGCUUCGGAAAUAGCACCAGGCGGUGGUCGGUAGCACCGGGCCGAACUGCGGCCAGGGGAUUUUGCAAAGUAAUAAUGGUAGCUCCCACUCCCACGCUCUCAUCAAGAAAUUGAGGCAUGGGGAAAAGGGCAAGUUACGUUACUUGCUCAGUUACCCAGCGAGUUGGGACUUGAUGAGAAUUGGAACCUGGGUCUCUCAGUUUAGGGUGGCUUAGUACAGCUGUGGUGUGCUGUAAAUAUUCACCUUGGUAUCAAAAGUACAGAUUCAUCUAGAAAGCCUGGUGUCCACUUGCGGGCUGUGUAUUUGGCCUGGAGCACUUUGGCAUAUAGUAGGCACUCAAUAAAUAUGUGGAAUGAAUGGGUGUCUGAAUAACUGAUUGACAGAAUCAUUGAUGGCAAGUGAUUUUUAGAGAAAGUCCUAACCAUUGCUCCUUCUACCAGGAUUGUCCUACCCUUAUAAAAACUUACUUGUUUUUUGAGUGUUGGGAGGUAACAGGAAAUUUUAUGAAAAAAUAUAUUAACCUCGUCCCCCCCUCCCUCCUAGCCAAUCAGCCUGGUAAGCAUUUGAACUUGCCGGGGCACAUACCUGAAGCAGCUGCUACUUGGUCUCAGCCAUUUCCCCCCACCUUUCUGCUUUUGCUCAGGGCCAGGCAGCCUGGAACUGCAAUUGAAGCAAUUCAAGAGGGAGGAGUGGGAACCUGCCAGUGGGGUUCAUUGGCUUCUCUGGGACAAGCCUGGAGUGGGACAGCGUGGCUUAACAGCUCAGUGGUUAUUUUUCAAUUCAGGGACCACCCGGUGCAGCUUGCUUUGGAGUGGCAACCCUCGCCAGCUGUGAGGUCACAUCUCAAGGAAGGCCGCCGUCCACUCCAACGGACAGCUCUGUGAUGCCGGUCAGUGGGACCACAUCUGUGAUUUGGAGAGCUGCCACUGGUACUCCAUGCCGACUGCCACUUCCUGUGGCCCAAGAGGAUGAGAUUAAAAAACAUUCUUCGAUUUGGAUGGGCCAAUAGAAUGUAUUUUGGUACCACACUGUUAUCCUCACCCCACCCCCCUGGGUUUUUUAAACCUCCCCAGUUGUCCCUUCUGUGUCACUAAUCCAGUAAUCUGAAAUGAGGACAAAUUUCACUUUGGGUCACCUGAAAGUAAACUUUCCAGUCUGAUACAUCCAACAUCUGUUGACUACUGUGGUUUAAGUUCCCUAUACUAGGAGAGCAUGGGAUAGGAAAAAUGCUUCUUCUCUGUUUCUGAUUAUUGCCAUAAUCCGUCCUCCUCCUCCUUCUCCUCUCUGGCUCAUUCCCCACCUCCUCCCUCUCUUUCUGACAGUUGUCUAGCUUGGCUUAUGUUCCUAUGAUUAUUGACCAAGAAAUGAAAAUGUGUAUUUUCUCUCAGUUACAACCCAAUCUGGAUUACAAGGCUGGGUUGUCAGCUGCGUCUUUUAUAGCUUGCUCUGAAGUGACCAGUAGGAUCCUGUGACCUCAGCCUGAGGCCACAUCACGUUAGAAGCAUCCCAUGAUAUCCAAGAAGGCCACAGGCCUCAAUCCUGCAUCGCUGGAUUGUAGCUGAGAACACUCUCAUCCUGUGCGCCCUGUGUGCAGAAGAGACUGGUAGCAAGUGACACUAAUCGGGAGGUUCGGGAUGCUAAUUUGAUUUAUUAUCUGUGUACAGCCUGGGGAGGAGAGAAGGCUCAUGGAAGUGUUCUAGGCUGAUCAUUCUGAAUGUGAGCAUUUAUUUAUCUGCAAAGCUGCCCAAUGUCCCUGCAGGAAGUCACCAGAGCAGCAACCCCUGGCUGUACAGACAAAAGUCUCCCCUUUAC
rnacentral:lncRNA from 1 species